CACUCUGGGACAAGCCCUGGAAACGGGGUCUAAUACCGGAUACUGAUCCUCGCGGGCAUCUGCGAGGUUCGAAAGCUCCGGCGGUGCAGGAUGAGCCCGCGGCCUAUCAGCUUGUUGGUGAGGUAAUGGCUCACCAAGGCGACGACGGGUAGCCGGCCUGAGAGGGCGACCGGCCACACUGGGACUGAGACACGGCCCAGACUCCUACGGGAGGCAGCAGUGGGGAAUAUUGCACAAUGGGCGAAAGCCUGAUGCAGCGACGCCGCGUGAGGGAUGACGGCCUUCGGGUUGUAAACCUCUUUCAGCAGGGAAGAAGCGAAAGUGACGGUACCUGCAGAAGAAGCGCCGGCUAACUACGUGCCAGCAGCCGCGGUAAUACGUAGGGCGCAAGCGUUGUCCGGAAUUAUUGGGCGUAAAGAGCUCGUAGGCGGCUUGUCGCGUCGGUUGUGAAAGCCCGGGGCUUAACCCCGGGUCUGCAGUCGAUACGGGCAGGCUAGAGUUCGGUAGGGGAGAUCGGAAUUCCUGGUGUAGCGGUGAAAUGCGCAGAUAUCAGGAGGAACACCGGUGGCGAAGGCGGAUCUCUGGGCCGAUACUGACGCUGAGGAGCGAAAGCGUGGGGAGCGAACAGGAUUAGAUACCCUGGUAGUCCACGCCGUAAACGGUGGGCACUAGGUGUGGGCAACAUUCCACGUUGUCCGUGCCGCAGCUAACGCAUUAAGUGC
rnacentral:rRNA from 1 species